rnacentral:rRNA from 1 species
UGUCCAGACUCCUACGGGAGGCAGCAGUGGGGAAUAUUGCACAAUGGGGGAAACCCUGAUGCAGCGACGCCGCGUGAGUGAAGAAGUAUUUCGGUAUGUAAAGCUCUAUCAGCAGGGAAGAAAAUGACGGUACCUGACUAAGAAGCCCCGGCUAACUACGUGCCAGCAGCCGCGGUAAUACGUAGGGGGCAAGCGUUAUCCGGAUUUACUGGGUGUAAAGGGAGCGUAGACGGCCAGACAAGUCAGAAGUGAAAGCCCAGGGCUCAACCCUGGGACUGCUUUGGAAACUGUGUUGCUGGAGUGCAGGAGGGGUAAGCGGAAUUCCUAGUGUAGCGGUGAAAUGCGUAGAUAUUAGGAGGAACACCGGUGGCGAAGGCGGCUUACUGGACUGUAACUGACGUUGAGGCUCGAAGGCGUGGGGAGCAAACAGGAUUAGAUACCCCCGUAAA